rnacentral:lncRNA from 1 species
UCAAUCUACAAAAGAGUUGUUGUAAUAAGAGUUCCUUAGAGGUCUGAGUUAAGUACUUUGGCCAUGUUUGUUUGUAAGUAGCAGCGGCUUGCAACUGGCUGAAGGUUGUUGAUUGUUCUUUUUUCGUGUUGUAGGUUGUUAUUAAUUUUAAGUAGCUGAAUAAAUUAGCGACUUAAAAAUAAACUUUUCCGCGAUCUGCGACUGGUAAACUACAAGGCCUUGUCGCAGCGACUUGCAAACGAACAUGGCCUUUGUCAUUGAAAAUACAAGGCUAACUACCACUUACGUGCCCUAGGAGGCAUCCUUUAGCCUUUGGUAGGUUUGCUAGUGGUCUCUGAUGAACAACCUCACAUAGUGAAAACGGCUUGACACCAUUUUCUUCUAUCUGUCUCUCCCUUUCAUUCCAUAUUCUCAGUAGUUCCAUGGACGGCGCGGUGCCAAUGAUUCCAGGGUGCGUCAAACCCGG